GCUGUAGAUACUGUGCACCAGCAAGUUGUUUAUUUGUAUAUUGAAAUAUUGAAGUAGAGCCACUUUUUAUAAGCACUGGUCAAAGAACUCAUCCUCUAAGCUUUCUUACAGAUAAUGGCAUGAUACUUCGAAAAGGUUGUAUUCUCUGACAGCAAGUUUAGGCUCAAAAUGUCCCCAAAGCAUUUCUAACCUCAAAUCAACAUUGUCUAACCUGUUUAUCAAAGCCUUUGUUAUAUUGUCGGUUAUAGCAGCUGUAAGAUUUAUUAAACCAUGUGAUCUCUGUCAGCGAAGGGAGGGGACAGUUUUUAUAAAAGAGUCCAAAGGAUCCACAGCAUCAGAAGAGAGGAUUAAGUUGAGGUCAAAAGUGGAAAAAACUAAAUUAGGUUUUCAUGGAGUCACCUGAUUUUGUCCGGGACAAAUUAACUGAAUGGGGCUUCAGUGAUUUCAUGCAGAGAUUUGAAGAUGAAGGCAUUGACAAGGAGACUUUUCUAAGUCUUGGAGAUUCAGGCAGUAUCAGUGGCUUGAUCCCUAAAAUUGGACCAAGAGUAAAAUUCAGAAAAAG